UCUGCUUCACUAUUUUUAACUAAUUACUUACAGGUCAAAUCCCCAGGACUAUUGAAAGUUGUGGAGCGUGGUUUUGGUACCCUGCGAGCCUAUAAAUAACAUAAAGGAUUUUGUUCUUGUGAAUGAGAGAUUGUUCCUGCAAAUCUGGUUCAGAAUCCCUCAUCUGUCCGGUAUUGUUGGGACACUACGAAGAACAACAGUCUGGGCUGGAUUCACCUCUGUAGGGAACGCGCAUCCCCUGUGCUCGGAGUGAGUAGGUGUAUCACAGUGGGGAUUCAGUGGAGAGGGAGUCACCAUCUAGUUCCAGGAGUUCCUUGAAGAGGACCUGGCUAGUGGAGACUGCAUGGGAGGCAUUCGAUCAGUGGGUUGCAGGUAUCUUGCCCUGUCCCUGAAUUCCCCAACCUGGGUUAUGUUCACUCAGUUUAGGGACUGAAUUGAGCCUUAUCAAUGAAAUUCUGACCUUACUGAAGUCAGUGGCAAAGAUCCCAUGUACUUCAGAAGGGCCAAGAUUUCCCGUUAUAUGUUUUAAAACCAUUCCUGUUACGGAUAAUCCUCUGACUAUUAAAACCAAGGUUUUCAAAAGUAACUAGGGAUCCCGGGUGCUUUAAUUUUUAGGAGGUCAGCUUGAGAUGCCUUGGCCUGAGCUUCAGAAAGUGCUUAGCAUCCAUCCUCUGAAAAUCAGCCCCCUUAAAUGCAUGUCCAUUGUCAAAAAAAGAGGCAU
rnacentral:lncRNA from 1 species